UUGGUUAAGGUAUUAAGGGUAUACGGUGGAUGCCUUGGCACAGAGAGUCGAUGAAGGGCGUGGCGAACUGCGAUAUGCCUCGGGUAGCCGUAAGCAGGCUUUGAUCCGGGGAUUCCCGAAUGGGGCAACCCAUCCCGAUUAAUAUCGGGUUAUCCCGCAAGGGAGGACAACCCAGGGAAGUGAACCAUCUCAGUACCUGGAGGAAAAGAAAUCAAGCGAGAUUUCCUGAGUAGCGGCGAGCGAAACGGAAAGAGCCUAAACCGCAGAGAUGUCAAGGGUAGGUCCGUUGUCUCUGUGGGGUUGUGGGAGCCGGUUGGAGAUGACCUGCCAUCUCCGGGAAGUCAAAAAAAGCAAUUCUAGUUGAAUGGCGUUGAAUAGCCAACCAUAGAGGGUGCUAGUCCCGUAAGCGAAAGGAUUGUUUCUUCCUCCGGAGUUCCCAAGUAGCGCGGGACACGAGAAAUCCCGUGUGAAUCCGGGUGGACCAUCAUCCAAGGCUAAAUACUCCUCUGUGACCGAUAGUGAACUAGUACCGUGAGGGAAAGGUGAAAAGUACCCCUGUUAGGGGCGUGAAAUAGAACCUGAAACCGUAUACCUACAAGCAGUCGGAGUCCCGAUUCGUCGGGAUGACGGCGUGCCUUUUGUAAAAUGAGCCGGCUAGUUAUUCUCAGUGGCAAGGUUAAGUCGUGGAGACGGAGCCGUAGCGAAAGCGAGUCUGAAUAGGGCGAUUGAGUCACUGGGAAUAGACGCGAAGCGGGGUGAUCUAUCCUUGGCCAGGGUGAAGUGUGGGUAACACCAUGCGGAGGCCCGAACCAGUGUCAGUUGAAAAUGGCUUGGAUGAGCUGAGGAUAGGGGUGAAAGGCCAACCAAACUCCGUUAUAGCUCGUUCUCUCCGAAAUAGCUUUAGGGCUAGCCUCACAUGAUUUGUGCAGGAGGUAGAUCACUGGAUGGACUAGGGCUUCGAAAGAAGUACUGAAUCCAACCAAAAUCCGAAUGCCUGCAACAACAGUGUGGGAGUCAGAAUGCGGGGGAUAAGCUCCGUGUUCAAAAGGGAAACAGCCCAGAUCGCCAGCUAAGGUCCCAAAAUUCAUGCUAAGUGGAAAAGGAUGUGAGAAUACACAGACAGCCAGGAGGUUGGCUUAGAAGCAGCCAUCCUUUAAAGAAAGCGUAAUAGCUCACUGGUCGAGCGUCCUUGCGCCGAAGAUGUAACGGGGCUCAAGCAUGAUACCGAAGCUGCGAAUCCCUUCGGGGAUGGUAGGAGAGCAUUCCUGGUCUUGGAUUCGAAUCGUGAGGUUCGAUGUUUACCAGGAAGAGAUCCUGCCGGCAUGAGUAGUGAUAAUCCCGGUGAGAACCCGGGACGCCGAAAAUCCAAGGUUUCCUGAGCAAGGUCAGUCCUCUCAGGGUUAGUCGGAUCCUAAGCCGAGGUCGAAAGGCGUAGGCGAUGGAAAGCAGGUCAACAUUCCUGCACCACCCCAACAGCGUUUGUACGAUGCGGGGACGCAAUAAGUCAGGCAGACCGUGCCGUUGGUUGAGCACGGCGGGUGACAAGGAAGGGCUCGUUAAUCAGGGCCGGAAUUCUGAGGUAGCCCGGGAAAUUCGGUUUUGCCGGAUGAACCUGCUGAAACUAUGUUGCCAAGAAAAGCCGCUAAGGAGUUGUUGAGGUGUCCGUACCGUAAACCGACACAGGUAGAUGGGUUGAGUAUACUAAGGCGCACGUGUGAAAUCUCCUUUAGGAACUCGGCAAAUUAACUCCGUAACUUCGGGAGAAGGAGUGCCUCGUUAGGGUGACGUUUUUCAACUGAGCUCGAGGAGGCCGCAGAGAAUAGGCCCAAGCGACUGUUUAUCAAAAACACAGGUCUCUGCUAAGAUGAAAUCGAUGUAUAGGGACUGACGCCUGCCCGGUGCCGGAAGGUUAAAGGGAGGGGUUAGCUUCGGCGAAGCUCUGAACUGAAGCCCCGGUAAACGGCGGCCGUAACUAUAACGGUCCUAAGGUAGCGAAAUUCCUUGUCGGGUAAGUUCCGACCCGCACGAAAGGCGUAACGAUUUGGGCACUGUCUCAAGGAGAUGCACGACGAAAUUGUAGUACCGGUAAAGAUGCCGGUUACCCGCUGCUGGACAGAAAGACCCCGUGAACCUUUACUGCAACCUAAUAUUGAAUUCUGGUGCGGUAUGUGCAGGAUAGGUGGGAGGCUUUGAAGUUCCACCGCCAGGUGGGAUGGAGCCAAUCUUGGGAUACCACUCUUGUCGUAUCGGGAUUCUAACCCACGGAGUUAUCCUCCGUGGAGACAGUGUUAGGCGGGUAGUUUGACUGGGGCGGUCACCUCCCAAAGAGUAACGGAGGUGCCCAAAGGUACCCUCAGGCUGUUUGGAAAUCAGCCGUAGAGUGCAAAGGCAUAAGGGUGCUUGACUGCGAGACCGACAGGUCGAGCAGGUGGGAAACCAGGGCUUAGUGAUCCGGUGGUUCCGUAUGGAAGGGCCAUCGCUCAACGGAUAAAAGGUACUCCGGGGAUAACAGGCUUAUAGCGUCCAAGAGCUCAUAUCGACGACGCUGUUUGGCACCUCGAUGUCGGCUCAUCACAUCCUGGGGCUGGAGCAGGUCCCAAGGGUUCGGCUGUUCGCCGAUUAAAGUGGUACGUGAGCUGGGUUCAGAACGUCGCGAGACAGUUCGGUCCUUAUCCACAGUGGGCGCAGGAGAUUUGAGGGAAUCUGUCCCUAGUACGAAAGGACCGGGAUGGGUGAAUCUCUGGUGAUCCAGUUGUUCCGCCAGGAGCAUUGCUGGGUAGCUACAUUCAUUAUGGAUAACCGCUGAAAGCAUCUAAGCGGGAAGCCAAUCCCAAGAUAAUAUCUCCCUUCACCUUCGGGUGACUAAAGACCCCUCGUAGACGACGAGUUUGAUAGGCUGGAUGUGUACGCACGGUAACGUGUUUAGCUGACCAGUACUAAUCGGUCGUGAGCCUUAACCAUUU
rnacentral:rRNA from 1 species